ACAGGGCAUCUCUUCUCCUAUUAGCACAACAGAGGGGUUAAUUCACAUCCCAGAUGAUAAAUCCUCAACAUCCAGACGGUUGGAACAAAUCAGUGUCGCAGGACUCUUACUAUUGACAGUCAGCCCUCAUGACACAUAGAGAGUGCAUGGCAAACAGGAAUGUAGGCUUACACACACACACGACAAUUCCACUUCAAACAUAUAUUGUGGGGGAAAACAUCAAUUUUAGCCACUGCAAACUCACUUCACGACGUGCAAUUUAAAGCCAGCACUCACAUUCGGGUUUCUGUCCGAAGGGAAGGGGGAGGGCACAAUCCUCACUGCCGCUGAGGAUAUUCUGAGAUGUUUUUCUUCACAGUCACAGGCAGAGUUCACAUCACCAUUUAUAGAGGAGGGAUCGAGAUCGGUAGAGGUAAGAGAUCGGUAAUGAAUCAAUACAAUCCACUCAGUGAUAUUUAUGAUCGUGAUCCAAACACUCCAAACCACAUCCAAUUCAGUGUCAAACGUGUGCAAUUACAAGACUCAGUUACUUAGCUCCUCUCCAAUGCAAACAGGGUAUUUCACUCUCCUUCUGUUGUCCUCGAAUCCCUCAGCAAAGCAACACUUUCCACUUCAUUCACCCGUCCUCCAGCCACUAUUACCACCCAAUAAAACGACUUUUCACAAGGGAGAAAAACCACACGCACCACCUCUCUCUCUUGCUUUUUAUCCUCUCCACUGUUGAUGAGGCCUCACGCAAACUCUGAGUAAAUCCCCCACACCUGUUGCCAAUCCAUCAUUUGGGGUUGUCACAGCAACAAACACACACACAGGCCUGGGAACAGAGUUACACUCAAAGCGUUUCCCCGGGAACACUGCUUCAGCGGGAAUAAGUUCCACAUGCCAUUUGUCACACUGUGACAAUAUAAUGUAGUGAUUCAGUAUCGAUCAAGCAGCAACCUCUCGCUGUGUCUCGUGAAGCCAACAAGGAAGUGACUAAAACUGCAAUUCAUAGACUGGUCGCUUGAGGCUGGCUGCAAAAGGG
rnacentral:lncRNA from 1 species